rnacentral:rRNA from 1 species
CUUUCUACUGCCCGAGACUGACAGCAUGCCGCGUGCAGGAUGAAGGCCUUCGGGUUGUAAACUGCUUUUGUACGGAACGAAAAAGCUUCUCCUAAUACGAGAGGGCCAUGACGGUACCGUAAGAAUAAGCACCGGCUAACUACGUGCCAGCAGCCGCGGUAAUAA